AUUGAACGCUGGCGGCAUGCCUAACACAUGCAAGUCGAACGGGGCAGCAAUGCCUAGUGGCGGACGGGUGGGGAAUACGUAGGAAUCUGCCCUUAAGUGGGGGAUAACCAGGGGAAACCCUGACUAAUACCGCAUGAUCUCUUCGGAGCAAAGAGGGGGACCGCAAGGCCUCUCGCUUCUGGAUGAGCCUACGUCUGAUUAGCUAGUUGGUAGGGUAAAGGCCGAGCAAGGCGACGAUCAGUAACUGGUCUGAGAGGAUGAUCAGUCACACCGGAACUGAGACACGGUGCGGACUCCUGCGUGACGCAGCAGUGGGGAAUAUUGAACAAUGGGCGAACGCCUGAUCGAUCAAUGCCGCGUGUGUGAAGAAGGCCUUCGGGUUGUAAAGCACUUUAGCCUGGAAAGAAAAAACUUUGGUUAACACCCAAAGUCUUGACGGUACCAGGAGAAUAAGCACCGGCUAACUCUGUGCCAGCCGCCGCAGUAAAAC
rnacentral:rRNA from 1 species